UAGGGAAUCUUCGGCAAUGGACGGAAGUCUGACCGAGCAACGCCGCGUGAGUGAAGAAGGUUUUCGGAUCGUAAAGCUCUGUUGUUAGAGAAGAACGUUGGUAGGAGUGGAAAAUCUACCAAGUGACGGUAACUAACCAGAAAGGGACGGCUAACUACGUGCCAGCAGCCGCGGUAAUACGUAGGUCCCGAGCGUUGUCCGGAUUUAUUGGGCGUAAAGCGAGCGCAGGCGGUUCUUUAAGUCUGAAGUUAAAGGCAGUGGCUUAACCAUUGUACGCUUUGGAAACUGGAGGACUUGAGUGCAGAAGGGGAGAGUGGAAUUCCAUGUGUAGCGGUGAAAUGCGUAGAUAUAUGGAGAAAAACCGGUAGCGAAAGCGGCUCUCUGGACAGUAACUGACGCUGAGGCUCGAAAGCGUGGGGAGCAAACAGG
rnacentral:rRNA from 1 species